CUACGGGGCGCACCAGUGGGGAAUAUUGCACAAUGGGCGCAAGCCUGAUGCAGCCAUGCCGCGUGUAUGAAGAAGGCCUUCGGGUUGUAAAGUACUUUCAGCGGGGAGGAAGGGAGUAAAGUUAAUACCUUUGCUCAUUGACGUUACCCGCAGAAGAAGCACCGGCUAACUCCGUGCCAGCAGCCGCGGUAAUACGGAGGGUGCAAGCGUUAAUCGGAAUUACUGGGCGUAAAGCGCACGCAGGCGGUUUGUUAAGUCAGAUGUGAAAUCCCCGGGCUCAACCUGGGAACUGCAGCUGAUACUGGCAAGCUUGAGUCUCGUAGAGGGGGGUAGAAUUCCAGGUGUAGCGGUGAAAUGCGUUGAGAUCUGGAGGAAUACCGGUGGCGAAGGCGGCCCCCUGGACGAAGACUGACGCUCAGGUGCGAAAGCGUGGGGAGCAAACAGGAUUAGAUACCCGUGUAGUC
rnacentral:rRNA from 1 species